GAUGAACGCUGGCGGCGUGCCUAAUACAUGCAAGUCGAGCGAAUGGAUUAAGAGCUUGCUCUUAUGAAGUUAGCGGCGGACGGGUGAGUAACACGUGGGUAACCUGCCCAUAAGACUGGGAUAACUCCGGGAAACCGGGGCUAAUACCGGAUAACAUUUUGAACCGCAUGGUUCGAAAUUGAAAGGCGGCUUCGGCUGUCGCUUAUGGAUGGACCCGCGUCGCAUUAGCUAGUUGGUGAGGUAACGGCUCACCAAGGCAACGAUGCGUAGCCGACCUGAGAGGGUGAUGGGCCAAACUGGGAGUGAGACACGGCCCAGACUCCUACGGGAGGCAGCAGUAGGGAAUCUUCCGCAAUGGACGAAAGUCUGACGGAGCAACGCCGCGUGAGUGAUGAAGGCUUUCGGGUCGUAAAACUCUGUUGUUAGGGAAGAACAAGUGCUAGUUGAAUAAGCUGGCACCUUGACGGUACCUAACCAGAAAGCCACGGCUAACUACGUGCCAGCAGCCGCCGUAA
rnacentral:rRNA from 1 species